UCUUUUUCUUUUUGAGUUCUUUCAAAUCUUUUUGGAAAAGGAGGUGGGAUGUGAAAACUUACCUUCGGGUCAGCUCUUUGCGCAGGAGGUGGUGCAGAAUGUGAUGAAGAGGCUUCAGAUUGCCUUGGAUGUUGUGCAGAGGGUGUCUCAGAUGAUGCAUGCUUUGGUGCAACUUGCUUUUCCUCCUCAAAUCUUGCAUCUUGAAGCUCUUUCCCACUUCUUAAAGUAAUGGCACUUACAUUUUGUUUGGGAUUUGCCUCAGUUUGAGAUGGCAACUUUCCUUGAGCUUCCAAUCUGUUUAUGGAGGUGGCCAUUUGUC
rnacentral:lncRNA from 1 species